ACUUUAAAAAGAAAAGAAAGGGAAAUUAAUUUCCUUUCUUCUUCUUCCUCCCGCGCCCCCCUUCUUCCGUUUUUCUUCUUCUUCGUUCUUGUGCCCUAGCCACUUAUCACACUCCAACCUCACCGCCAGCCACCUUCAAUUUUCUCUUUUUUUUCGUUCACCCGUCGACAUCAGUAGCCCAAACAUCGCAUCCCAGGCCGCCACAUCCCCGCUGCUCGCGUUUCGCCCUUGCGGUUUGUUGAAGCCAAAACCGGUCGUCGCGUUUUUGUUUGCGAUUCGUCUCCAACCGUCACGCCUCGAGCCGCUGCGUCCUUCACACUUCGCGACCGACCAAAGCCCAAUCGAAGCCGCACGUCUUUUUCUCGUCAGAUCCGCCACCGCCACCGCCUCCCAUUUUUUUCCCUCUUUUUCGUUCGCUGUAGCCGCCGGCCGCCUCCCCAGCCGCUUCUUCUCCGUUCGUCCACCACAACCGUCGCGCCUCCGUCUGAAAUCAAGCCGUCGUCCAGAUCUGCGAAGCUGCCGCACCUUCGUCUGCGCCGGUCUUCGUAGCGAAACCAGCCGUUCUAAUCUGCCUUGCACGCUGUUGCUUGGGUCGACUGGUGCACUAACGUUUCUGCCUUGCCACGAAGAAUAUUGGGGUUUUGUGCUGUCAAUUGUGGAGAGUGUUUGAAUUUUUGGGUUCACGAAAGUUGCUUCAAGUCCAAUUCUCUAUUUAAUUUGAGUUCGUUCGUUGCAUUGUAGUUUGAAAAAGGAGCUUAAGCAAGGUUAAGGCAAAGGUAACCAAGGUGGCAAACUGGCGAGGGGCAGAAAGGAAGCAACAUCUUUGUUUUGCUUCCGCUUUAUGUUUUUUAUGUUUAAAACCUUAUGUUUAAGUUUACCUUACGAACUAUUACUUUGGUAAAUAGUAUGUGUAUAUAUAUAUAUAUAUAUAUUAAGUUUUAGUUGCUUGAAACCGAGCCUGUUCAAAGAUAUGUUUUUCCUUGAUUGAAUGUUUUUAAAUGUCUUACA